CGAAAGGGCUUCUGUCGUGAGUGGCACCCACAGAGCAGCCUGAUUGCUCUACACGCAGCAUCGACAUCGAGAGGUUCAGAAGCAUCAGUUUUUGGUACUUGGGCAGCUGGAGAUCAUUGGUCCUGGUGCCCGC